rnacentral:lncRNA from 1 species
AGGGGGAGGCGCCAAGAUGGCCGAAUAGGAACAGCUCCAGUCUACAGCUCCCAGCGUGAGCGAGCAGAAGACGGGUGAUUUCUGCAUUUCCAUCUGAGGUACCGGGUUCAUCUCACUAAGGAGUGCCAGACAGUGGGCGCAGCCUCACCUAUGGAUGAAGCCACAGAAGAGGAAAUGCACUCUGAGGAGGACAAUCCUGAUCUACAUCAUUAACACAGCUGAGUGAGUUUGCUCCUAAUGGAGCACAUUUCAAGCAAGAGAUUUCCAGGGUAUCAUUCUGUCGUGCAGGCCGGAAUGCAGUUAUUUGACCUUGGCUCACUGCAGCCUCCACUUCCCAGGCUCAGAUGAUUCUUCCAACUCAGCCUCCCGAGUAGCUGCAAUUACUGGCACAUGCCACCAUGGCCAGCUAAUAUUUGUAUCUCUUGUAAAGACAGGGUCUCCUUGUGUUUCCUAGGCUUGUCUUCAGCUCCCAGGCUCAAGCAAUGUGCCCACCUUGGUCUCCCAAAUUGCUAGGAUUACAGGCAUGAGCCACCCACCCAUCCUGGAGGGUUUAUUUUUGAGGGAAAUUGCAUUGUAGAGGCCCAGAGCAUAGGCUCUGGAAUGAGAAUGUCGAACUUAGCAUUUUAAACUUCCCUUCCUUGGCAAGAUAAUGAACUUCCCUAUGCAUUGGUUCCUCUGUAUGUGAAAUAAUUUUAUUAAUAGUAUGUACCUACACAGUUUUGAGCAUUAAGUGAGAGAAAAUGUGGAAAAUGCAUGGAACAUAGCCUGGCAAAUGGUAAGCAAAUAAUGAGUGAUAUUAUUAUAAUUAAUACAAAUGUUUAAGGUUAGAAAAAUAAUCAAGGAUGAUUAUUUGCAGAUUAUUUAGCUAAGUUUAUCUUUUGUUAGAAUCCUCAAGCAGUGCAUCUAGUCAUUCAUUUAGCAAACAUAUACGGACGACAUUGCUCUAGGUGCCAGAGGUUCAGUCAAAACAUAUCAUGGUCCUUUCCCCUUUGGUCUCACAUUCAAGAGGGAAAGACAAACAUGAAGGCUGGUGAUAUGGUCUGUCUCUGUUUCCCUACUCAAAUCUCACCUUGAAUUGUAAUAAUCCUCAUGUGUUAUGGGAGGUAUCUGGUGGGAUGUAAUUGAAUCAUGGGUGCUGUUUUUUUUCCAUGCUGUUCUCUUGAUAAUGAAUGUCUCAUGAGAUCCGAUGGUUUUAUAAAAGGGAAUUCCUCUGCUCAUACCCUCUUGCCUGCACCCAUGUAAGACGUGUCCUUGCUCCUCUUUUGCCUUUUGCUAUGAUUCUGAGGCCUCCCCAGCCAUGUGGAACUGUGAGUCUAUUAAAUAUCUUUUUUGUUCUAUAUAAUUACCCAGCCUUGAGUAUGUCUUUAUUAGCAGUGUGAGAAAUGACUAAUGCAGUAAAUUUAUACUGAGUAAUGGAGUGCUGCUGUAAAGAUCUCCAAAAAUGUGGAAGCGAUGUUGGAACUGGGUAAAAUGCAGAGGUUGGAACAGUUCUUAGGGCUUAGAGAAAGAUAGGAAAAUAGAAUCUGGAACUUUCUAGAGACUUGUUGAAUGGCUUUGACUAAAUGCUGCUCAUCUCGAAUGAAGAUAGGAACUUGUUGGGAAGUGGAAUAAAAGUGACUGUUGCUGCGUUUUAGUGAAGAGAGUGGUGGCAUCUUGCCCCUGCCCUAGAGAUCUGUGGAACUUUGAACUUGAGAGAGAUGAUUUAGGGCAUCUGGCAGAAGAAAUUUCUAAGCAGCAAAGCAUUCCAGAAGUGAUUUGGGUGCUGUUAAAAGCAUUCAUUUUUAUGUAUUUGCAAAGAUAUGGUUUGGAAUUGGAACUUAUGUUUAAAAGGGAAGCAGAGCAUAAAAGUUUGAAACAUUCGCAGCCAGAUGAUGUGCUGGGAAAGCAAAACCCACUUUCUAAGGAGAAAUUCAAGCCAACUGUAGAAAUUUGCAGAAGUAACGAGGAGCCAAAUGUUAAUCUCUAAGACAUUAAUCUCCAAGACAAUGGGGAAUAUGUCUCCAGAGUAUGUCAGAGACCUUCCAGGCAGCCCCUCCUAUCACAGGACUGGAGACCUAAGAGGGAAAAAAAUGUUUUCAUGAGGUAAGCCGAGGGCCCUUCUGCUGUAUGCAGCCUAAAGGCUUAGUGCCCUUCUUCCCGGGCCACUGAAGCCAUGGCUAAAAGGGGCCAAGAAAUAGCUUGGGCUGUGACUUCAAAGGGUGCAAGCCCCAAGCCUUGGCAGCUUCCAUGUGGUGUGGAGCCUGUAGGGGCACAGAAGUCAAGAAUUGAGGUUUGGGAACCUCUGUCUAGAUUUCAGAGGAUGUAUGGAAAUGCUUGUAUGUCCAGGCAGAAGUUUGCUGCAGGGGUGGGACCCUCAUGAAGAACUUCUACUAGGGCAAUGCAGAAGGGAAAUGUGGGGUGUGAGCUCCCACACAGAGUCCUCACUGGGGCACUGCCUAGUGGAGCCAUGAGAAAAGGGCCACCAUCCUCCAGAUCCUAAAAUGGUAGAUCCACAAACGGCUUGCACCAUGCACCUGGAAUACUCAGGCACUCAAUGCCAACCCAUGAAAGCAGCUAGGAGGGAUGCUGUACACUGCAAAGCCACGAGGGUGGAGCUGCCCAA